rnacentral:rRNA from 1 species
CUACGGGAGGCUGCAGUGGGGAAUAUUGGACAAUGGGGGGAACCCUGAUCCAGCAAUGCCGCGUGUGUGAAGAAGGCCUGCGGGUUGUAAAGCACUUUCGGUUGGGAGGACUGCUUCUAGCACUAAUAUUGUUGGAAGUUGACGUUACCUUCAGAAGAAGCACCGGCUAACUCCGUGCCAGCAGCCGCGGUAAUACGGAGGGUGCAAGCGUUAACCGGAAUUACUGGGCGUAAAGCGCGCGUAGGCGGCUAGAUCAGUCGGGUGUGAAAGCCCCGGGCUUAACCUGGGAACUGCAUCCGAUACUGUCUAGCUUGAGUACAGGAGAGGAGGGUGGAAUUCCACAUGUAGCGGUGAAAUGCGUAGAUAUGUGGAGGAACACCAAUGGCGAAGGCAGCUCUCUGGCCUGAUACUGACGCUGAGGUGCGCAAGCGUGGGGAGCAAACAGGAUUAGAUACCCCAGUAGUC